rnacentral:rRNA from 1 species
UUACCGGUGGCGGAUGGGCAUGCGGCGCAUUAGCUAGUCGGCGGGGUAACGGCCCACCGAGGCGACGAUGCGUAGGGGUUCUGAGAGGAAGGUCCCCCACACUGGUACUGAGACACGGACCAGACUCCUACGGGAGGCAGCAGUGAGGAAUAUUGGUCAAUGGGCGCGAGCCUGAACCAGCCAAGUCGCGUGAGGGAUGACGGUCCUACGGAUUGUAAACCUCUUUUGCCGGGGAGCAAGCGUGCGUUCGUGAACGCGCGUCGAGAGUACCCGGAGAAAAAGCAUCGGCUAACUCCGUGCCAGCAGCCGCGGUAAUACGGAGGAUGCGAGCGUUAUCCGGAUUUAUUGGGUUUAAAGGGUGCGUAGGCGGGAUGCCAAGUCAGCGGUAAAAAUGCGGUGCUCAACGCCGUCGAGCCGUUGAAACUGGCGUUCUUGAGUGGGCGAGAAGUAUGCGGAAUGCGUGGUGUAGCGGUGAAAUGCAUAGAUAUCACGCAGAACUCCGAUUGCGAAGGCAGCAUACCGGCGCCCUACUGACGCUGAGGCACGAAAGCGUGGGUAUCGAACAGGAUUAGAUACCCUGGUAGUCCACGCAGUAAACGAUGAA